GAUGAACGCUGGCGGCGUGCCUAAUACAUGCAAGUCGAGCGAACGGACGAGAAGCUUGCUUCUCUGAUGUUAGCGGCGGACGGGUGAGUAACACGUGGAUAACCUACCUAUAAGACUGGGAUAACUUCGGGAAACCGGAGCUAAUACCGGAUAAUAUUUUGAACCGCAUGGUUCAAAAGUGAAAGACGGUCUUGCUGUCACUUAUAGAUGGAUCCGCGCUGCAUUAGCUAGUUGGUAAGGUAACGGCUUACCAAGGCAACGAUGCAUAGCCGACCUGAGAGGGGAACGGGCAAACUGGAAAUGGAACACGGGCCAGGACCCCUAGGGGAGGCAGAGGGGGGAAAUUUUCGGAAUGGGGGGAAAGCGGACAGAGGAAACCCGGGUGGGGUGAAAAGGUGUUUGGAAUGUAAAACCCUUUUUUUAGGGGAAAAAAAUAGGUGAAAAGAACUUGGCCCUUUUGAGGGGUCCCAAAACAAAAAACCCGGCUAAAAUGCGG
rnacentral:rRNA from 1 species